UAAAACUUGGAAACUACCGUUGGAUCGAGAAAUGGAUGUUCGAGAUUUAUCCACAUCACCAUGAGUUAAAAUUUAACUCCCAGUAAAAUUUUAACUUAUGAGUGAAUCUGCGAGUUAAAUUUUAACUCAUGGUGACGUAGAUAAAUCUCGGACAUUCAUUUCUCGAUUCAACGGUAGUUUUCAAGUUUCC
rnacentral:pre_miRNA from 1 species